UCCUCAUAACAAACGUAGGAGGUGCUGGGGAUGUGCAUGCUGUGGCCAUCAAAGGGUCCAGAACUGGAUGGAUGCCAAUGUCCAGGAACUGGGGUCAGAACUGGCAGAGCAACAACUAUCUCAAUGGCCAAGGCCUCUCCUUUAAGGUCACAACCAGUGAUGGCCACACAGUGGUGUCCUACAAUGCUGCCCCAGCUGGGUGGUCCUUUGGCCAAACAUACACUGGUGCUCAAUUCCGCUAGGAACCAUAAUCAUUCACAAGACCAAGUUCCAAAUAUUUAGAUACACCACUAUAUAUAAGAGUAUAUGUUUCUAU
rnacentral:lncRNA from 1 species